rnacentral:lncRNA from 1 species
AUAGACUCGUAGACUUAGAAAUCCUUCUUUAGGAACGAAAUGUGUGUUACCUGAGCAACAGGGCAGUAGUGGUGCGGGACUGGUACCACAAACCACCAAGAAUCCCCGUGCUUAGAGCCUAUGCAAUGGGACCUCAACGAAAGCCCCAGUUUCAAACUCAAAAAGUUGCUUUUUCUCUGCUUUCUUAGUCAAAACUUGUUGAAUUUUUGUCCAGGACAAGGCUGAGGAUCCAAGUUCAUUUCAUUUAUCAAGUCCAAUGGCCAAAAAAAAAAAAAAUUCAAAUCAGGUGUAGCCAAUUUCAUUAAAUAAAAAUAAAACUUGUAGGUCAUUGGUACGCGCUAAUAUUCGUUCGAGGUGACAUUAACGUGGAUCAUAUUUUCCACUAUCUCACUGAAUCCCUCCUGUACAACACCAAGUAGACAGCUACAUGGAAACAAAGAUGCAGAGCCAUUAAAAGAGGAGGCCAUGAGGGGGAGGGCCAACUACUAGCUACCUGAAUAGGCCUCUAAUUCAAUAUGACUAUUUACACUACAUACUUGUUGGCCUCAUUCCAUAUACAUACCCCUUCAAUCUUUACAGCUUAAGUGUUUGUAUUAUUAAAUAAAGGCGUCUCAAACCCUAGGUCGUCGUUCCAUGACUUCUUCAAUCGACUCCACAUCCACUCUCUGAUUUUGAUUCGUAUCUUAUCCAUUUAGUACAAUCAUGCAUCAAUUUAGCNCAGACCCCAGGUAUGUC